CACCUGGGGCCAGGCUGGGCAGGGGUGCAGCUCCCAGCAGGGAUGCGGUCCCCACGGGGGCCCCCUAGCCCUGCAGGGCCUGACAAGAGGGAAGGGGGAGCCCCUGUCCUUCCCCUCUCCUUCUUAACACAGUUUCCUCUUUUGCUUCCCUGUUCUCCUUCCAGACCUGCAGGCCUGGCAGUGUGGCCAGCCCGGGGCGGGGUGAGCCUAACGGCUUCCCGCAUACCCUGUGCCAGCCUCCUUUCUGACCUUGCCUGAAAUUCCCCCCAUUACUCACCAUCGGGUGCUAUCAUCAAGCCUGAGAAGUGGUUUGAGAAGCUAAUCUUGUCUUAGAAGGCUCUGGAGCUGGUCUGAAUGGCAAGCAGCAACAGUUUGGAUGCCUGGAGGUGCAGCAGCCACCUUUCAACCAUGAGGACAAAAGCCAGGUGCUGAGUGUGGUGGAGGAGAAAUAAAGAAGGAAUCUGGCUGACACCCCUUAGUAGUAGCACCGGCCCUUGACUGCCAACUCUGAAUUUAUUUUUUGCAAGAGAUUAAAAAAGAUCUCUUCUUUGUUUAA